AACGCUGGUGGUCUUCAAGCUUGAGGAUCGCGUGGAGGUUUUCAACAUGGAAAUUACGGGCGAUUAUCCCGCACGCUGAUCCCGUACGCGGCGCGCGCGGUUGGCGAAGCAAUCACCCGCGCGCUUGACACGAAUCCUCCCCGUCUCGACCGACCGUACGUGUCGUUCGAAUAUUCGAUCGUGUAGUACCAACGACACGACCAAGUCAUGAAUCCACCUUUGCAAUCUAAAAAUUAACCCACCCAAAAGCCCCUCUCCUCUGCUCCUGGAUCCCCUUUUCUUCCCCACGCCGCCGCCGCCGCCCACCCACUUCCCUCCCCGAAACCCCUACAAGCUCGCCCGCCGUCGACGACCUCCGCUCGCCCGCCAUCGACGACGCACACAGAGGAGGAGGAACGGCGGGGCGGCCUCUGCGCCCCGUCCGCCCUUCUGCAGCGCCGCCCUUCUCAUCGGUUCGAUCCGCCUGCCCUCGGCCAACAACCACAACCAGCGGAGAGUGACGACCACCUCCACGUCGGCAUCACCCUCCACGCCACCAUAGCGACCUCAAUGACCUCGCCGUGACACCUCAAUUUCAAUCUGUAAUGGUUCCAUCCGGGUGUGAUGUCUAAUAUGCCAAAAGGAGCAAACAUCAAGUAUACUUCCUUCCGUUUACCUGCCCGGGCUUGCUGCUGCCGGACUCUUCCUCCUGAAGCUGCUGCUGCUGCUGCUGCUGCCGCCGGCAGCACGGCUUUCCCGGCCCCCUCGAGCCCUCCACUGCUCGGUGUUCUCCGUCUUAUACCGGCGGUGGUCCCUUUCCGCACACUGGUAGCGGCAUGGGCAAACCUCCGUCCGAGAUGACAGCCAUGGUAAGCUAGCUGGAACCUGUUGCUGCUGCUGCUGCUUGGAAGGAAGGAAGCUAUAAGACCCUGGGACAAAGUGAUGGCAUAUACACCCCUUGCUCGAGCCAUCUCUAUGCAGCAGCUUUCUUUCUAGCGCCUUAAUUAUAUAUCAAUGCCAUCAUAUGGUUACAAUGCAUGAGCAGCCGACAUUUCUUGUAACGCAGUGGCAUGUGUUGUAUGUAAGCUCCAAGAAUGGUAUUGCAGAAACUUCAGUUCCGCUGUGCAUCAGCUUUGCUUUGCCUUGACAAUGAUUGCUGGUUUGGUUUUCUUGUUGAUUAGACUUGUGGUAGAGUUGAUUGUAUGCUUGUAUGCCACAUGGGUUGUGCUUUAUGCACUGUUGGCUUAAUUGAGGUACUAUGUUAUUUGCCAUGCA